AGGCUGGUGAAUGCCCCCAGAAAAACUGGGGUCUGGAUGACCCUAAGGGUGUAUGUAUGUAUAUGAGUAUGCAGGAGUGUGUGUGUGUUCACAAGCAAUCUGAGUGGCUGGCCGUGUGUGUGUGUGUGUGUGUGUGUGUGUGCACAGAUAUAAAGACAAACUGCAGUCUGGUUCUGUCUGGGUAACAUGUGUGUGAUGUGUGUAUAUUUACAAGUAUUUCCUAACCUAGUUUAGUGACGUUGUAAUCUUGUGGCUGAGCAUGCAUGUGUACAUGUAUGUGUAUAUAUGUGUGUUUACAAUGUAAUCUCAAGCCUGCAUGUGAGUGACUAGUGUGACCGUGUGUGUUUGUGUUUUACAUGCACAUUCCAGCCUGGUUCCAUACCCCAAGACCCCAUAGAAUAUGAAGGUCCUCUGAUGAGCCCAGUACAUCCUGACGCUGGCUGAGUGCUGGGUGGAGUAUGUAUAGGUGACUGGUGUUUACCAGCAACUUUGACCAGCCACCAGCCUUUGUCUGGUGCCCACUUCCCAUGGCCCCUAAAUUCCUCACCCUGGUAGGACCCUGGCUGUCCUUGCUCUGGACUGCCUUCCCCAAGGAGUCCCUUUAACUCACAGCCCCUUUCCUGGCCAGGGGGCUGGGAGUUGGGGGAUAUUCAUCUCGGGGAGUUUUUGUUCUGCCUCAUGAAAAGCCUCAAUGGCUGGGAAUACCAUUCUAAUUACGGGGAAGCCCAGCUUAUGUGGGGGACACAAAGGGCUGUGGUCUCAUAGCAGCUCCUUCCAUCCGUCAAAUAAGGCCGUCUAAUGACGGGGUGAGAGCUGUGAAUGCCUAAAACAAACUCGAAAAGGAGGGAAAAUAAAGCCGCCGGGGGCUUAAAAUAUAUUAAAUUACCCUGAUUAGGAGCCGUGGCUUUGCAGGCACUAGUUGGAGAGGCUGGGGAGGCUGUGAGUCCCACUAUUCAUGUCAGGGGGGAAGAGGGGUCAGUAGGUCGGGGGCGGGGGGUGUUCACAGAGCCCUAGCCCAUUCUCAUGCUAACACCAGGGACACACUGCAGGCUUACUGGGCUGGAAAAUAGAAAUGAAUUUGCCGUAAUCCUCCUUCUUCUCUCGUUCUCUCUCUCUCUCUCUCUCUCUCUCUCUCUCUCUCUCUCUCUCUCUCUCCCUCUGCAGCCCAGGAGAAGCUUUGCCUAAUCACAGCCUGUUAGAGCCUGCUGGGCAUUGGGGCAGAGCCACACCCCAGAGCCUGUGUCCCUCAGCCCUCUCAUCCCCUUGCCCCUUUCUGUGGGGUCCAGAAUGAGAAUGGGCUCCAGGGCACACGUGAAGGAGCAGUAAAGGCAGGCGGUGGGGUUCCAGUGGAUGGGGAGUGCCAGGCCCUUUUCCAGCGUACAAUUAUUUACAAUCCACAAUUACCCCUUUAAGCACAUGUACACAAUUCACAGACACAAAUAUCCCUUUACUCUUCACACAACUCCUCACAACACAUCCCUUCACAAACACACACUUAGAUAGGCACAAAUACAUCUGUACACAAUAUGCUUCUUCAAGGGCAAAUACACAUCUACUCCUUCAAGGGCAAAUACACACAAAUACACACAGGCACCCACGGAGCUCUUUACAGGCACCCACGCAUGGAGACAUAGCCCUUCUCAGACGGCCAUAGGCUGCCUCCAACACACACAUGCACCAACACGUGCACCAACACAUAUGUGCAUACCCAUGCAGACUCCUGCACACCCCUUCAGGCAUACCUCCAGAACCACGACCUAGUACAACUGCAAUGUUUCACAACGGAGGAAACUGAGGUGGAUGUCCGCGCCUCCACGGUGCACAUAAUGAAUCCCUCC
rnacentral:lncRNA from 1 species